GAUGAACGCUGGCGGCGUGCCUAAUACAUGCAAGUCGAGCGAACAGACGAGAAGCUUGCUUCUCUGAUGUUAGCGGCGGACGGGUGAGUAACACGUGGAUAACCUACCUAUAAGACUGGGAUAACUUCGGGAAACCGGAUCUAAUACCGGAUGAUAUUUUGAACCGCAUGGUUCAAUAGUGAAAGACGGUCUUGCUAUCACUUAUAGAUGGAUCCGCGCUGCAUUAGCUAGUUGGUAAGGUAACGGCUUACCAAGGCAACGAUGCAUAGCCGACCUGAGAGGGUGAUCGGCCACACUGGAACUGAGACACGGUCCAGACUCCUACGGGAGGCAGCAGUAGGGAAUCUUCCGCAAUGGGCGAAAGCCUGACGGAGCAACGCCGCGUGAGUGAUGAAGGUCUCCGGAUCGUAAAACUCUGUUAUUAGGGAAGAACAUAUGUGUAAGUAACUGUGCACAUCUUGACGGUACCUAAUCAGAAAGCCACGGCUAACUACGUG
rnacentral:rRNA from 1 species